CCUACGGGAGGCUGCAGUGGGGAAUAUUGCACAAUGGGGGAAACCCUGAUGCAGCGACGCCGCGUGAGUGAAGACGUAUUUCGGUAUGUAAAGCUCUAUUAGCAGGGAAGAAAAUGACGGUACCUGAUUAAGCACCCCCGGCUCACUACGUGCCAGAAGCCGCGGUAAUACGUAGGGGGCAAGCGUUAUCCGGAUUUACUGGGAGUAAAGGGGGCGUAGACGGCAGCACAAGUCUGGAGUGAAAUGCCGGGGCUUAACCCCGGAACUGCUUUGGAAACUGUGCGGCUCGAGUGAAGGAGAGGUAAGUGGAAUUCGUGGUGUAGCGGUGAAAUGCGUAGAUAUUAGGAAGAACACCAGUGGCGAAGGCGGCGUACUGGACUGUAACUGACGUUGAGGCUCGAAAGCGUGGGGAGCAAACAGGAUUAGAUACCCGUGUAGUC
rnacentral:rRNA from 1 species